rnacentral:tRNA from 1 species
GCAGCGAGUUGUAGCCUCGUGCACGAGGGUGGAACCCCUCCACUACCA